AAGGGAUGACCUCCUGGGGCCGGGCCGCCGCCUGGCCCAGUGCUGGGCGUGAGUAGAACGGCCCAGGAGCAAAGGCGAGAGCAGUGGUUGGCAGUUCCCACCGGCACAGAAAACUGGAAAUAGAGCAGGUUGGGGGUCACCGAGGCCGGGGACAGACCGUCGUCAUGCUUCUGGAAGGUUCAGGAGCACCGAUGGACUGAGACAGUGGCCCGUGCCUUAGGGCCCAGCCUGUAUUCACCUGGUUGCUUUAUUCAGCUCAGCCCACAGGCCGCGAGCGCCGCCCUUGGGAAGCAUCUGACAGCCCGCGCCGAUGCGGACGCUCGCCGUUGACUCGGGAGCGUGUUGACUUGGUGCCCGCGCCUCCGCUGGACGACCCCUUCACCUGCUGAUGGACGUGUGCAGCGUUCCCAGUUCCUGGUUACUGUAGAUCAGGUUGCUCCCAACAUUCUCAUUCCCAGAGAGAAACAAGGCGGUUGCAGAUGUCAGCGCGUGGAGGCACCACCUGGAAAGGCCUCUGCCAUCUGGAGGCAGAAGCAAGAACACUGCGUGUGCCCAUGUGGCCGGGUGCAAAGGGACCCUCCGUGAAAUGACUGUUCUGCCACUUGGGUGGUUUGUCCUGCACACAGCGGAGAUUGUCUUCCUCCUUCCCAGGUGGCUUCCCUCGCCACGCCUGUGGCCCUACCCCCUGCCCUCCCCAUCCCCGCGAAGCAAGGCCACGGGCUUGGACGCCCACGGAUAUUAAUUUGUUGGAAGCCUUUCCUGGAGGCAGGCGGGAAAGACACUGGAGGAACAGUGUUGUAGCUGAAGUUAUCGCCAGCUCUGUUUCCUGAUGGGACGGCUUAUUCUGAC